AGGACACUCCGACCGGGGGAUUCAGUUGAGACCGCUGAAGAGAGGAUUGUGAGAGAAGAAAAGACAAAAAAAUUGCUCAUAGCCUACAAGGAAUCACUCGGACUGAACAUUGA
rnacentral:sRNA from 1 species